rnacentral:tRNA from 2 species
GCCCCGGUAGCUUAAUUGGAUAAAGCGACGGCCUUCUAAGCCGUUGAGUCCAGGUUCGAGUCCUGGCCGGGGUA